UUGGUUAGCUGGGGCUGAAGAAUCAGCUAUGAUAAAUAAGAUACCAGAACUACUAAAGUGAAACCUUUGUUUUCCUGGGAUACUCAAUCCUGGUUAGCUGGAGCUAUGAAUUUAGUGGUCAUUAAGAAGAGACCUGCAUCACUGAGGUGAAAUCUGAGUACUGUUUCCUCAGAGUCAGUACACAGAAGUUUGGUUCCAGUGGUGACCAAGGUUGUACUUCAUGCUGACAGCUGAACUUGGUAGUGUAAGAAUCGCCCAGGUGGUACUGGUUUUGAAGGCAUGAAGGGGUCAUGGAGAGCAGCUGAGGCUUGGUACUGUGAGAGGCCAGAAGAGGACACUGGUGAAGGUACAGCUAGAAUAGCAGUGGAACCCCUAGAAUCGAAGGGGUCAUGGAGAAAAGUGAGGCUUUGUGCCAUGAAGAGAGGCCAGGAGAGGCUAUUGGUGCAAGUGCAGUCCAGUUGCAGCAGAAGACCCCAGCAUUUUGGAGAUGCCUGUAUCAUGGAAGGGCCACUGAGAACAGCAGUGGCAGUGGAAUGGAGCCUGCUCAAUCUUAGAAGACAAGCUGUGUGUGCUGCAGAGGGCAGAGCUGGAGAAGUGACCCAAGCCUUUUGGAGGAGCCCAGAAGAUUCGAAGGCAGAAGUGUGCAGGCCACUCCCUGGGUUCAUCUGUGCCAUCUCUUCUCACACCAUCUGCCCCAGAAAGGCUGUUCUUCAGGGUCACUCCAGAGGCCCCCAGUGACACCGAGGAGCAGAAGGAUGCCUUUGGGGGAAGACUAGUCAGAUUCUCCUGUCGUGGUGAGCUCCCAUGGGGGCCAUUCCAAGCCUUUUUACACCACCAUGAGAGAUAGUCGAGAAAAUGGUUCAAGUUUAUUCCACGUUUUGGAGACUAACUGAG